rnacentral:rRNA from 1 species
UACAGAGGGUGCAAGCGUUAAUCGGAAUUACUGGGCGUAAAGCGUGCGUAGACGUUUGCGUAAGUCAGAUGUGAAAGCCCCGGGCUCAACCUGGGAAUUGCAUUUGAGACUGCGUAGCUAGGGUGCGGAAGAGGGAAGCGGAAUUUCCGGUGUAGCGGUGAAAUGCGUAGAGAUCCGGAGGAACACCAGAGGCGAAGGCGGCCCACUGGGCUGCACCUGACGCUGAACCGCGAAAGCCAGGGGAGGGAACGGG